UACAGGGGGUGCAAACGUUGCUCGGAAUCAUUGGGCGUAAAGCGCACGUAGGCGGUCUGUUAUGUCGGAUGUGAAAGCCCUUGGCUCAACUGAGGAAGUGCAUCCGAAACUGGCAGGCUAGAGUACGAAAGAGGAUCGCGGAAUUCCCGGUGUAGAGGUGAAAUUCGUAGAUAUCAGGAGGAACACCAGUGGCGAAGGCGGCUUUCUGGACGGUAACUGACGCUGAGACGCGAAAGCGUGGGGAGCGAACAGG
rnacentral:rRNA from 1 species